CCUCUUAUUGUCUUGUGUGUUUUUUUCUCAAUUUAAUAGCACAAGAUAGAAGACAGAAGGCCAUAAACAAUUCAAUUUGGGGAACAGCAAUCAGGUCCAGUAAGGAGAUUCUAUCAGAAAACCAAGAUGCAAUUCCCGAUGUCUGGACAUUAUUAUCGUGUGAAGACUGGUAAAGAGAAGAAGUUAUAAAUAGGUCUUACUGAAGGAUUGAUAAAGGGGGAGAACAAGGGAUGUGGAGGGCCCCAUGCCUGUGUUUGCCUUAGGCCCCAAAAUGACUAAAUCCACCCCUGAACCAUAACUGUCCUUUAUUUUUUUGGAUUUAUGUUGCUUUGUUUUAUGAUUUCUACACAUUUUAUACUUAUUGUGCUCUAUACUGCCCUCUUCACCACUGAAUCAUUUUAUUGUUAAAACUUAAAUGGUUUAUCUGCACAAAAACAGCCUAAAAAAUAGUAAAAAUAUUUUUCCUUACAACUUCUCUGCAUAGCACAAAAAGUGCAAAUCAAUCAACAGUAAACGCUUCAGUCCUUCAGACUUUCAAUAGUUCUUACAGAUUCCUGGUUUCGGCUCAGUUAAAUAUCCAGGCACAGGUGCCAUCAAUGACCCAUCAGGUCAGUUGGAGUGUACAUGGAGAAACUGGAAAGAAAGAAAGAAAAAAACUAUUUCCAACACUUUCUUUUAGUGUGUUAUAUAAAUGAUCUUUUUCCUUACUCCAAUGAUUGUUCAUUGCGGAUAAGCUGUUAAAAUAUUUGUUAAAAGCAUGCUACAUCCUGCACAUCCUGCAAUAUAUAGCAUGAGAAGAGCAACCAACUUAAAGUUAAUGAUUAAAGAUUUUUUGUCUGUGAAACCAA